ensembl:lncRNA
GUGUUCUGGCUGGCUGGUAGCUGUUCUGUGGUGUACUGACUGGCUGGCUGUUCGGCUGUUCUGUGGUGUACUGACUGGCUGGCUGUUCGGCUGUUCUGUGGUGUACUGACUGGCUGGCUGGCUGGUAGCUGUUCUGUGGUGUACUGACUGGCUGGCUGGCUGGUAGCUGUUCUGUGGUGUUCUGACUGGCUGGCUGGCUGCUGUUCUGUGGUGUUCUGACUGACUGGCUGGCUGGUAGCUGUUCUGUGGUGUUCUGACUGACUGGCUGGCUGGUAGCUGUUCUGUGGUGUUCUGACUGACUGGCUGGCUGGUAGCUGUUCUGUGGUGUUCUGACUACUGUAACUAAGCCUGAACUAUAGUGUAGCUAGCCUGGCAAGGGAGUGGAGCUAAGGCUUCUCUGGCUUGGGUGUGGCAGACAUCUCUUUGUUGGAACAGCUGGGCUGUAUGGAGGGGGGAUUGGGGGUGGACUUAGUAACCAACCACGUGGCUAGUGCUCCAUAAACACCACAUGGAGGAGAGCGGAGCAGUAGAGCACAUUUAACAGCAGCACUGAGGGUGACAACAAAGCACAGAGUGAGAGAGAAAGAUGGACAUACACACACGCUCCUUUGUUCUUUCUCUCUGUCACUUGCUCAUUGGUCAUCACAAAGGCAUCUUGCCCCACCCUCCUUUUGUCUUGUUCUCCUGCGUUCUCAUUCGUUCACCUUCUCUCUCUUUGUGCAGUGGGUGUAUGUCUCUCCUGGACCUCCUCUCAGCCCAUGCUGCCUGGACUGCAGUACUGAUGCUGGUAGUAAUAGUUAUUCUGCUCUGCUGCCUCGGUCCCAUUAGAGGAGAUCGCUAGCCAUAUGCUGCACAUCGUGUUCUGUGGGUUUGUGCAGUGUGCUCACACACACACAGUCAUUUGCAUCAGUGAGGUAGUUAGACGUGGAGCAUACAGCAUGCGAUGAAGGGUUACUGUUCGGACAUAAAAUAGAAGGCAUUAACAACGAGUAUGUAGGCAAACUCCUUACUGCUCUGCUGUAGAAC